UACGUAGGGGCGAGCGUUGUCCGGAAUCAUUGGGCGUAAAGCGCGUGUAGGCGGCUCGAUAAGUCCGGUGUGAAACCUUGGGGCUCAACCCCAAGCCUGCACUGGAUACUGCCGAGCUAGAGUCCGGGAGGGGAGAGCGGAAUUCCUAGUGUAGCGGUGAAAUGCGCAGAUAUUAGGAAGAACACCGGUGGCGAAGGCGGCUCUCGUG
rnacentral:rRNA from 1 species